UACGGGGGGGGGCAAGCGUUGUCCGGAAUUAUUGGGCGUAAAGAGCUCGUAGGCGGUUUGUCGCGUCUGCUGUGAAAUCUGGGGGGCUCAACCCCCCAGCCUGCAGUGGGUACGGGCAGACUAGAGUGCGGUAGGGGAGAUUGGAAUUCCUGGUGUAGCGGUGGAAUGCGCAGAUAUCAGGAGGAACAUCGAUGGCGAAGGCAGAUCUCUGGGCCGUAACUGACGCUGAGGAGCGAAAAGCAUGGGGGAGCGAACAGG
rnacentral:rRNA from 1 species